rnacentral:rRNA from 1 species
GAUGAACGCUGGCGGCGUGCCUAAUACAUGCAAGUCGAGCGAACAGAUGAGGGGCUUGCUCCUCUGACGUUAGCGGCGGACGGGGGAGUAACACGUGGAUAACCUAAUUAUAAAACUGGGAUAAAUCCGGGAAACCGUAGCUAAUACCGGAUAAAAGAUUGAACGGCAUGGUUCAGUAGUGAAAGAGGGUUUUUCUGUCACUUAUAGAUGGCUCCGCGCCGCAUUAGCAAGUUGGUAGUGUAACGGGUUACCAAGGCAACCAUGCUUAGCCGACCUGAGAGGGUGAUCGGCCACACGGGAACUGAGACUCGGCCCACACUCUUACGGGAGGCAGCAGUAGGGAAUCUUCCGCAAUGGGCGAGUGCCUGACGGAGCAACGCCGCGUGAGUGAUGAAGCUCUUAGGACCGUAAAACUCUGUUAUUAGGGAAGAACAAAUGUGUAAGUAACUAUGCACGUCUUGACGGUACCUAAGCAGAAAGCCACGGCUAACUACGUG